UCUGCUUUUUUUCAUUGGUUGGAGACAGAAGUGUUAAGCUGUGAAGUGGUUUGGGGGAAGAAGGUCUUCCUAAGAAAACAAAGACAGCUUAAAGCAUAAACAAACUGUUUGCUGUAGUCACUUUGUACCCGAAGGACGAUCUCACUUAUUAUAAACAAAGGAGGGACUGGAAAUCAAACAACAUGGGUCCUCUGCAGAGUUGACACUUUGGGCUUGUUUUAAUCUGUCUGUGGGAGAACGUCCUCUGCCUUGGUGGGGAGGUCGUGGCUACUUUUAGUCUUUCCUUUUAUAGCAACAGAAUAAGGGCAAACAGCUUAGAACAUAAAAUAAACACCUCCUGUAAUUGAGAAAGAGUAACUCAGAAGUUUUAGAGGGACUCACCCAGGCUGAAAAAGGAGGAAACCCUGGGCAGCUUCAGGGAAGACCCCAGACCUGUCUAAGACCUGCAAACUAUACAGUUUCUGCUAUGCUGUUCCCUGUGUCACAGCCUGAGCUGACAUGGGCUCUGCAGGGAGGCAGCUGCUGUGAAUCCAUCCCAGCUCCUGACCUUUGAAAUUUUUCAGAACACAUCACCUGUUUCUGUGGGUUACGCUGUCUAGCAAUGCUCCUGGGCCUGGGCCUCUGUUGAGACGUCCACUGAGUAACGAGGAGGAAAGUGGGAAGAGAAUGAGCACAUCCUUUCCAGAAGACCCACAUGUCAAUCAAUGCCCUUCAGUCAUGGCUCAGGCUCCCAGAACUGAGUUCUUCUUUUCUGCAUGGAUACCACUACUGCAUCUGUUCACCACUGGGGAAUUCUGCUUGCAGUAUAGUCUUUAGGAGAAGAAAAACUAUGGAUACCAUCAAAAUUAAUAAAGAUUUACUUUGAAAAGGAGAAACCUCUUGAAAAAGAGAAAUGGCAGCUCAUUCACAAUGGUGACAACCACACGGGUGGUAAGGAUAGAAUAUAGGGGUGUGGCAGGGUUCUGCUCUUAUCUUCACAGGAAAAUACACAUUUUAAAACAUUCAAGAGACCCUGGAUGUUUGGAUGCUGACAGAAGGAAA